rnacentral:lncRNA from 10 species
ACUGGCACAGCAGACCAUGAGCUCCAGGGCACACUCAAAUCCCCCACCUCCGUGAGACUACUGGAUAAGGUUCCAGGAAGCGAGAGAGUCCACGGUUAAAAUUGGAUUAACUCAACUUCAAAUAUAGUUGAAAUGAUUCCGGCAAAUGGAGGGUGAUCAGUCAGCACCAAGCGGCGAGGACAGGCCACUGGGAGGAAGAAGCCUCCUGAAGGUGCAGGCCUUAGUCAAGGAGCUGACCAGGAAAGUGGAAGAGAUGACCGGAAAAGACCAGUUUCGGCACCUCUGACCUACCUGUACCAAGCAUGUCGUUGGCCACAUGUGGACCCCACCGGCCUGAACCUCCUGACAGGAGCCUGCCUUAGGCCACCAGCCAUUCGCAGGACUGGGAGGCCGUGCACUGGGCUGGCUUCAGCACUGGGGCCUGGCUCCUUUCCUGAUUUGCUGAGGAGCUGCAGGAAAUCCCCCCACACCCCUAUCCCAUCUCAGUUUCCUCUGUCAGUCAUGCAGUGGAUCUGCGAGGGGGCCUCAGUGCAUCCUGGGACCCCACCCUUCUUGUCCUUCCCUGAGUCACCCUCAUUCUGUCUGGAAUCCUCUGUGGCUGCUUUUCCACAAACUACACUCACUGGCAGAGUGACCCCUGGGGCUUUGGACCUCUGGGUAUUAUCAACAUGGUAAUGAGCCGGCAGGCCUAUCAUGGACACCUGGGGGGCGAUCAUGCUUGUCCACAGUUAGGUUUUCUAAUGUAUUUCUCUGUCCCUGGCUGUGACAGCCUGUGGAACUCAGAAUGGAAGACAGUAAGGGGCCUGGACGCUUUGUUCCCACCUUGACCGGAGGCAACAAUCUUCCUCUUGCAUGCCAAUGUCAUUGUAUACCUUGCUUCUGGCGCUGCUGACCCCAAGUGGCCCAGAACAUUCCUUUGGGUCUCCUCAGUGAAUCAAACAUGUCCCUAUUCCAGUACAUUUCUAUUAAAAUCUGCUGAGCCCCACAAAGAACCAGGCACUGCUAGGAGCUUCCUGUAGGUGUGUAAACUUCCAUGCACUCAAGCCGCUUGCCCCCAGGCACUGUGUUGGAUUCAGCCUGCAGCCACUCAUCCUCACUCAACCCUCCUGCUCUACCCACCAAUGCCUUCCAUGGGUUUGCCUAAAAUUAAACAUUAGUAAAUGUUGAAUGGAUCCAACUGGAGAGAAAGAUGUUCCUUUGCCUUAAGCAUCUAUGCUCCAUAUGUUUUGUUUCCAAGCAGUUUCAUUCAGAAGGAUGUGAAAGGGACUCUGUUCCACAGCUGCACUGGUUCAUGGUGGUGGAAUAAUCACAAGAUGAAACAAUCGUAUCAUUGCUUUUCCAGCAAAGUCAGGCACUGUGCUCACAAUACACUACAUUCAUGGAAGCCUCUUUGUUAUAGGAAUUUGCUUUGCUCUAGGGGCGUUCUUUUAAUUUUACGGUUGGAGGAUUGAGUUCUCAAUUAAGGGAUCAGCAACAAAUAGAUAUUAGGUAUGAUCAAUUAGCUAUCUGGGAAGUAUGAAUGUUCUUUCAGUUACCUAGCACUAAUUAAACAAGUGUCUUGCCUUGUGAGGGGGAGAGGCUCAUAAAGACACCCUCUUUUCUCUCAAGGGCUAUCUGUCUUGGAGCCUUGGAGAUGAGACUUGUACACAGACUGCUCCCUAAAGAGCAGAAUGAGGCCAGUCCCUCGGAGAGGUAGGUGGAGAGAGGGCGUCCAUGGAGGAUUAGUUUAGGCUCAGCUCCACGCCCUCGAGGAGCCCACAAAGGAAGUGGCAUUGAAGCCAGGUCUUAGAUGAUAGGUAGGACUGUAGGAUGCAGAGAAGCAGCUGCAUAUAACAUCAUAGCUUCAAAGGAUUCAGAGCAGGAUUGUUGGAGACAGGAGGAGAAAUUCACCAGUUCAUAAUCACCAUGGGAGAUUUGCAAUAGAUCUCUUUCAGGAAUUAAAAGAUCAAGGAAUUAAGUAAACACACAUGAAAAAGUAAGUAUAUACAAGUUUUGAAUAAUAAGCUUCAUAUAAUAUAUAUCUAAUAUUUAUCAUCUGUCUCUCCAUUUAUCUGUCAAUACACCCCCAAAGGAAAAUAUUCAUUCUUUUUGAAUAUCCAUGAGAAACUGACAAAAAAUUAAAAUGAUGCUGGCCACAUUCUUGGACAAAUAGGCAAAAGAAAACAAUCUUUUUGUUACUGAAACACCAGGGGUUUGGUCUAGGUCCUACUGCU